rnacentral:ncRNA from 1 species
CCAGACCGCUAGGGGUGCGAGCCUGCUGAGAGUCCACCUAUCGGACAACCCUGGCACCUGAACUCGAUAAUCCGAGCGUAGGAAAGCGGUGCCGCUGAAUG